GGCCAACCAAUCUUUGUACUCACAACGCAAGAGCUGUGUUUGGGUUCUCGGCAAUAAGUCAGACUUCUUUCCUGUGGGGGUUGGCCUCCGCCAGGGUUGCGCCUUGUCACCAAUCCUGUUUGUGAUAUUUAUGAAUAGAAUAUCGAGGUGUGGUCGGGGGGAGCAGGGACUUCAGUUUGGUGGAAUCAGGGUCUCAUCACUGCUUUUUGCAGAUGAUGUGGUCUUGUUGGCUUCCUCAGCCUGUGA